CCUACGGGAGGCAGCAGUGGGGAAUAUUGGACAAUGGGCGAAAGCCUGAUCCAGCCAUGCCGCGUGUGUGAAGAAGGCCUUCGGGUUGUAAAGCACUUUCAGUGGGGAAGAAAGCCUUGGGGCUAAUACCCUCGAGGAAGGACAUCACCCACAGAAGAAGCACCGGCUAACUCCGUGCCAGCAGCCGCGGUAAUACGGAGGGUGCGAGCGUUAAUCGGAAUUACUGGGCGUAAAGCGCGCGUAGGCGGUCUGAUAAGCCGGUUGUGAAAGCCCCGGGCUCAACCUGGGAACGGCAUCCGGAACUGUCAGGCUAGAGUGCAGGAGAGGAAGGUAGAAUUCCCGGUGUAGCGGUGAAAUGCGUAGAGAUCGGGAGGAAUACCAGUGGCGAAGGCGGCCUUCUGGACUGACACUGACGCUGAGGUGCGAAAGCGUGGGUAGCAAACAGGAUUAAAUACCCCAGUAGUC
rnacentral:rRNA from 1 species